UGGGUUGGUCGGAUCCCUGCUUGGGCAGCGACGACCGCUCUUACAUCCCUUUUCAUUCAUUCUUCAAGAGCGAUAAGCCUCGGACCAAUUCGGUUGCUUGUGUUUUAUACCUACGUUGAUGGAAUUUGCUCGUCCAAUCAUCCCUUAUUCACCUUGCGCUGCUAACGCGGUGCGGGAUGAACCACGCAGUGUCCUUUCUUGUCUGUUCUUACCUCGCGUUCGUGCGACGCAUAAAACGGCCAAUGUUGUGACACUCGAAUUCUCGGAUAUGGAACCUUAAGUGGGCAACCGGCCUUUGGCCUUGAUUUGUCCAAACUAAGCGUUCUCGCUUCUUAAGAACGAUUGUCGAGCCCGUUUUGACCUGAGGAUACUUUUGGUCCGACUGAUCAUGCGGUGCCGACAUCGAAGAGGAAUGCUAC
rnacentral:misc_RNA from 1 species